rnacentral:rRNA from 1 species
AGGUCUUGACAUCCGAUGCUAUUUCUAGAGAUAGAAAGUUACUUCGGUACAUCGGUGACAGGUGGUGCAUGGUUGUCGUCAGCUCGUGUCGUGAGAUGUUGGGUUAAGUCCCGCAACGAGCGCAACCCCUAUUGUUAGUUGCCAUCAUUCAGUUGGGCACUCUAGCGAGACUGCCGGUAAUAAACCGGAGGAAGGUGGGGAUGACGUCAAAUCAUCAUGCCCCUUAUGACCUGGGCUACACACGUGCUACAAUGGUUGGUACAACGAGUUGCGAGUCGGUGACGGCGAGCUAAUCUCUUAAAGCCAAUCUCAGUUCGGAUUGUAGGCUGCAACUCGCCUACAUGAAGUCGGAAUCGCUAGUAAUCGCGGAUCAGCACGCCGCGGUGAAUACGUUCCCGGGCCUU